rnacentral:rRNA from 1 species
UUAACCCUCGCCAGAGUAACAAUUGGAGGGCAAGUCUGGUGCCAGCAGCCGCGGUAAUUCCAGCUCCAAUAGCGUAUAUUAAACUUGUUGCAGUUAAAAAGCUCGUAGUUGAACUUUUGCGUUGUCCUUUUCCUGCUUUGUGCGGGUUAUUGACUUCGCUUUUUCUUUUUACUUUGAGAAAAUUAGAGUGUUUAUCGCAGACUUUUGUCUUGAAUACUUCAGCAUGGAAUAAUAGAGUAGGACUUUGGUUCUAUUUUGUUGGUUUUGGAACCUUGGUAAUGGUUAAUAGGAACGGUUGGGGGCAUUCGUAUUUAACUGUCAGAGGUG